CAAGGUUUAACUGGAUAGAAUGACCCCAUUGUUCUCUAAAAUGUGUCUUUUCCACCACCAAUCUCCCUUUUCCCCCAGCAGCUGCAAAUGUUUCUCCUUCGCAGAGGCUAGCAAAGAUUAGAAGGCGAAAAAAACGCAUUCGGGAUGAGAUGUUCUCAGAGCUACUGCAGACCUCCCAGACUGACAGAGCACACCAGAGUGCAGAGAGGCAGAUGAUGUCAGAGUGCAGGAAAGCGCAACAGGAAUGCGAGGAGAGCUGGUGGGCUAAAGAGGUGGUCCUGGACAGAGCCAAGAUCCAACAGCCGUGGUCCUCAGAAGUUUUGGAUGGAGACGAAUUGAACCUGACCUGCUCCCACCAUGCCGCCAAGGCGAGUGACAGCACAAUCUGGUACCAGCAGCUCCCAAACCCGAUACCCCAGUUUGCACUUACCGGAUACAAGGAAACCAUUAAUAGCCCCGAACUGAAGGGAGCUCUGUACAUCUCCGCUGACAAAGUGUCCAGCACCCUGGCCCUGCACCAUGUGAGGCUGGUGUAUUUCUGUGGUAUGGUGUGGUGUAUUUCUGUGAUCGGAGCAGCAUGAUGUGAUAACCAGGGGGCAGCCCCCGGGCAAUAAAUAUCCCACCCCUA